rnacentral:rRNA from 1 species
AUUGAACGCUGGCGGCAUGCCUUACACAUGCAAGUCGAACGGCAGCACGGGGGCAACCCUGGUGGCGAGUGGCGAACGGGUGAGUAAUACACCGGAACGUGUCCUGUAGUGGGGGAUAGCCCGGCGAAAGCCGGAUUAAUACCGCAUACGAUCUACGGAAGAAAGCGGGGGAUCUUUCGGGACCUCGCGCUAUAGGGGCGGCCGAUGGCAGAUUAGCUAGUUGGUGGGGUAAAGGCCUACCAAGGCGACGAUCUGUAGCUGGUCUGAGAGGACGACCAGCCACACUGGGACUGAGACACGGCCCAGACUCCUACGGGAGGCAGCAGUGGGGAAUUUUGGACAAUGGGGGAAACCCUGAUCCAGCAAUACCGCGUGUGUGAAGAAGGCCUUCGGGUUGUAGAGCACUUUUGUCCGGAAAGAAAACCUUUGGGCUAAUACCCUGAGGGGAUGACG